rnacentral:rRNA from 1 species
UACAGAGGGUGCGAGCGUUGUUCGGAAUUAUUGGGCGUAAAGGGUGCGUAGGCGGUUUGGUAAGUCUUAUGUGAAAUCUACAGGCUCAACUUGUAGUCUGCAUGAGAAACUGCCGGGCUUGAGUGUGGGAGAGGUGAGUGGAAUUCCUGGUGUAGCGGUGAAAUGCGUAGAUAUCAGGAGGAACACCUGUGGCGAAAGCGGCUCACUGGACCAUAACUGACGCUGAUGCACGAAAGCUAGGGGAGCAAACAGG